ACUCCGUGCUCUUACUUAUUAUUAUUUUUUUUUUUUUACACAGUAAAUGUGCGCUUUGUAUCCAUGUAGGUACAAAACUACAUGAAAUAAAAGAUUUGCUGCUUUCAUCAGGUCUUUUGUAAUCAAGAUGGUAUGACAGUCCUCAGUUCAUGUGGCAGGUCUACAAAAGCCUGUGACAUUAAUUAUUAAAGAAUGCCACAAAACAAUCUGCAUAUUAAUAAUUCAUGAUGCAUCAUUUGAAAAAAAGAAGAUGCAAAUAGUUUAAGGUAGUAAUUGACCAGAAGCUGCAUAACAAUGAGGCACCAGAAACUGGGACACUCGUCAAAGGUGUGAUUUUUGGUGAAUGUUUCUCAUGCAAGGAAUCUUGUUAAGCAUGCACACAGUGCAUUUGUUGGACUCCACGUUAUGGAGGAGACCACAGCCAAAAGCAUUUCCUGUACUCUUUGCAGUUGCACAAAAGUAUCUCUUGUGUGUAUGACUUCUGUGCAGCAGAACACACUAGUAUAUUUGGGAAGAGAGGGGGAAAAAAGUGAGCUUGCUAUUCAGUGUCAUUUCACAAUGUUUACAGCUACAAUUUACCUUGUGACAAAGCUUUCUCUCAGGGCAUUUAGGCUCUGAAACAACACACAGAAUAGCCUUUUUGUAACUGCCGGGUGAGGAGGAUUCACUCAUCCUGCCGCUCAAUGAGAAACAUUCAUUUGAUAACCACACAAUUGAAUCUGGUGUACGAACACACAGCUUGCAGCUGGUGGUGUCACCAACACAUGUACAGUGUGAUUUUAGGGUAAUAGUGGUUAUGUCAAAGGAGUACUUUAAGCAAAAAACAUGUAAAUAAAUUGUAGCCAAUUAGCCAAGA